rnacentral:misc_RNA from 1 species
CCGAGAUAGGGUCUCUCAGGCCCGACCUCCUAUCCUUUGUUUACAUUACCAUGUUGCUUUGGCGGGCCCGUUUUCUAGCCGCUGGAGGUUUGACCCUCGAGCCAGUGCCCGUCAGUAGCCCUCUUUAAUUCUUUUGGUAACCUGUCGUCUGAAUAUUCAAUUUAAAUGAAAAUUA